rnacentral:rRNA from 1 species
AGUGAACGCUGGCGGUAGGCCUAACACAUGCAAGUCGAACGGCAGCACAGUAAGAGCUUGCUCUUACGGGUGGCGAGUGGCGGACGGGUGAGGAAUACAUCGGAAUCUACUUUUUCGUGGGGGAUAACGUAGGGAAACUUACGCUAAUACCGCAUACGACCUACGGGUGAAAGCAGGGGAUCUUCGGACCUUGCGCGAUUGAAUGAGCCGAUGUCGGAUUAGCUAGUUGGCGGGGUAAAGGCCCACCAAGGCGACGAUCCGUAGCUGGUCUGAGAGGAUGAUCAGCCACACUGGGACUGAGACACGGUCCAGACUCCUACGGGAGGCAGCAGUGGGGAAUAUUGGACAAUGGGCGCAAGCCUGAUCCAGCCAUACCGCGUGGGUGAAGAAGGCCUUCGGGUUGUAAAGCCCUUUCGUUGGGAAAGAAAAGCAGCAGGUUAAUACCCCGCUGUUCUGACGGUACCCAAAGAAUAAGCACCGGCUAACUUCGUG